CUUGUUUGUUUGUUUUGUGUAUGCGUUAGAGUGCUUUUUGGAGACCGAAUUUCUAGAACUGCACAAUCUGUUUCCUAAGAUGGCCUUGCAGAUGGCCUUGCCCAUAAAUCUGUGCAUAGGGUGUACAAAGAUGUCAUGUAAACUUUGCAGCCUGGCAAGCUGUGGUUAUUCCACUGAGGGCAACUGCAGCUGCUGGUAUCUGUGAGUCAAACAAACCUCUGCUUUAUUAUCACAUCGCUAUUUAAAAAUAUGGAACAAACAUCUCUCUUCAAAUAACAGCAGAAGAGCCGAUCGUUCCAUGCCUUGGGGGCAUGAGUCGCUAAGCUUGUGCCUUGAGACAGGAAGAACAUGAAUAUCCCUUCUGCCUUCUCCAAGGUCCUCGCUUCUCAUCCCAGAUGGGAGCUGGCUGUAGGGUCUCCCCUGCAGCUGACCUGAACCAUGGGCUCAGCAGCUCUAUGAACAGCUCUGAUAGUGCUGCUGCACAAACGGUAUCUUCCAAGAGGGGCAGAGCCAACAUCUGGAGGACAGAAACCUCUGCAGUCACCCUACAAGCUAAAUGGUUCCUGCUCAUGAAAUGGGACUUUCAGAUGUCACCUAUGCCAUGUGCACAGGACUGCCCCUUGCAUGGAUGGCGGCUCUGCAGGGAUGCCAGAGAGGAAUGGCCUUGCUUUGGGAAGAUGCUUCAAAGGAACAUACAAAGAAAACGAUCUGUGUGCCUGGGGAAGGCCAUGAGGCUCAAGAGAAAGACUAUUAAAGGAAAGUGUUAUUUUUAUUUAUUUUUUUCCCUAUGCUGUUGUUAUUUCCUACAUCCUGUUCUAUCUUUUUACUGCUGUGGUUGCAUCUGA
rnacentral:lncRNA from 1 species